CUCUCUCCCUCCUGUCCCCUCUCUAAAAAAAAAAUUACCAUUUUUCACGUGUUGCCCAGUGUAUCUCAGAGUCACGUUCGACGAGGCCUUGUCCAGCAACAAAAAUUAAUAAAAUUGAAAAGGAAUUGCCAUCCUGAGUUGCAUGUCAAGGGACAUGAAGGUGGAUACACUUUACAACCACAGUAAAACCAGUGUAACGCCCUCCAGGUUUCCGUUCCACAAAGCUGCUCUCCACCUACACUCACUGAAACUCUCCCCCUCAGUCUGGGCUGAGAGGUGUUUUUCACCUGCUGCACUAACUGCCAGCUUUGUGAGGCCUGUCUAGGCCCCUGGAGGGUCAGGCCCCAAGACCCGGGAGCAACGAGCCCUGGGAGGGGCAGCUCCACUCUCACAACGAAGGCUUUUCUCCCCGAGUUGCCUUGGAGAAUUUCCAGUGGAGGAAAUGACCUACCCCGAUGCAUGCCUGUCUUCCCUAGUGCAGCUCUCCCACUAUUUAUUUUGUCAUAAAGUCCCCUUUGAUGGUUUAGAAUUACAAAUAAAUUAUAAACUUAUAAUGAUAAAUAAAGUAUAAUUGUCCUUUCCCCUGAUUAUACAACAAAAAAUAAUGACUAUAUUUUAUUAACCUCAUUUGGAACUUUUAUUCUUUCAGAAAUUUGCAUAAAUUAUAUUUUAAAUUACUUUCCAACACAUUUUUACUUAAUUAAGAUGUUCUUACUGUUGCGCUUUUCUUUUUUACCACAUGGCCUGGUUUCUUAUCCGAAAGAGUCCACUAGGUCUGGGCCACCAAGAAUGGGUUAGGGCAUCACCAUUAUCUGUAAGCUUUGUUUCUACUAUUUUUAUUUAUUCAUCAUGGAUGUUAUAGUUUUUAUUUUUGUAUACUGAUGAGGUAAAAUUCUAAGCUUGGGGGCAGCUUGGGGUUUUAAAAGAGCGUUUGUAUUUCCUUUUGUGUGUGUUGUCUGAUUACUUAAGUAAUGGGGGGAUGGAUAGCUCCCCCAAAAUCAAUGGAAAAUGUGGGGGUUUGGCCUUAGUCAAUGUUAAAGCAAAAGUUAUUCACAAAGACACAGUUAAAGAACAUCAAGGAAGACUUUAUUCAAGACCGUUGCAAAGGAAGAGAGAGACUGAACUCAGCUCUGAAUGCAGCCUGUGGAGGGUAGUGGGAUUCCUGUGAAAGGCAGGCCAAGGACUUGGAUAUCAAGGGUAGGGAGUGAAAAACUGGUCAGAUAUCAAGAAUAGGGAUUCUUGCUAACCUGGAUUGUUUGCUAAAACUCAAGUUCAGCACAUUAAGGUCAAGGCCUAGCGGAGAAGAGGGCUCAGAGCAGCUUGAAUGCAUUAGUCAAACAGGGAGUCUGCCUUUGUACCUGAGAGGAGAGAACUGGGCCGGUCAGCCUGUGCCAGUCCCUAAAAGGACCCAGAGUGGAGAUGACCACCCUGAGCCCAGACUGCUGGCAUGGACACCAGCCACAUGGCCCAAGGCUGAUGGAGUCCUGUAACCCAGCACCUCAUGCGUGGGCAGCACCUGCCCACUACAAAUUAUCACUAGCAUGCCGCUCUGAUGACGUACCCCAGUUACCACAUCUUUCAAUGGGAACUCCUCAAGCAUCUACUCUCAAGAACUCUGUCUCAGAAAAGACGAGCACUGCAGUCCCUCGGGAGAGCUGGGGAAAGCCAGGCUUUCGGGAGCUGUUGGCUAGAGUGUUUGUAAAGGGCUGAAGUGAGGAAGGCUGAUCAAGGACAGGAAUGAGGCUCUUUGAGUUUUGAUUAAAAAUUGCCAUUUUCCGAGCAGUUCUCUGAGGAAAGCUGAGAAGAUAUCUGAAUCUCCUACUCUAUGAUGUUGAUCCUAAUUUAUAAUUCUCUUUACUGUGUUUGCUGUCUCCUUUCCUUAGCAGCAAGCCUUUUCUGAGCCCAUAAACGUGACCCCAAAAAUCUACUUUUCCCCUGAUUUUGUUCUCUGUUCCCAUUGGCCUCCUGGUU